rnacentral:rRNA from 1 species
CUGAAUGGCUAUACCACCAUGAACAUGCCCGAUCUCGUCUGAUCUUGGAAGCUUAAGCAGGGUCGGGCCCUGCUAGUACUUGGAUGGGAGACUGCCUGGGAAUACUGGGUGCUGUAGG